rnacentral:misc_RNA from 1 species
GGUUGGAUCAUUAACAAAUACAUAAAUGUCCCUUGCUGCCAUAAACAGCCUGGGCGUUUUAACACCUGUGAAUUGUUUAUUGUCUCUGGUGGGUUAAAGGCAGAGUUUGGCGUUGUGUAGCGUUCGUUUAAUUACUUGCGCCGCAGAAUGUCCGCCUCUGUGUUUUCCACACGCUGCGCAGUAAUGUGCAUGCGUUGUGGGAUUUUCCACCCACCGCCAAUUCUUAAACUCUAUGACAUUAUAUUAGCCUUUAAAUUUACACUAGUUGAAUGAAAAAACAACUUUUGGCAACGGAUCUCUAGGCUCUUGCAACGAUGAAGAACGCAGCGAAAUGCGAUAAGUAAUGUGAAUUGCAGAAUUCCGUGAAUCAUUAAAUCUUUGAACGCACAUUGCGCUUUGUGGUAUUCCGCAGAGCAUGUCUGUUUGAGAAUCAGAAUAACUCUCAUGCGCAAGCCUGUCACCAGGACUGCGUGUGGAAUUGAGACUCUGCUAGCACUCGUUGCCAGCAAGACUCUAAAUACAAGUUUGGCCUGUUGUAUGCAUACCUAUCUGUGGAGCAGACGUUUGAAGGCAUGACCCAAUGAGCCUGUGUUUACGCACGGUUCUUUUGAUUGCUGAUAAGAACGUCUAGGAAGCGUUGGCGAGCUACAAUUGGAUACAAAUCUCAACAACUACACGAAGCACUCUUGCCGCACAGCAGAGCGUUUUAUGUCUUUGAUCUCAAAUCAGACAAGACUACCCGCUGAACUUAAGCAUAUCAAUAAGCGGAGGAAAAGAAACUAACAAGGAUUCCCCUAGUAACGGCGAGUGAAGCGGGAACAGCUCAAAUUUGAAAUCUCCUGGGUUCCCUAGGCGAAUUGUAGUUUAAAGAAGUGUUUUCGGAGGCUAGCCAAGUCUAAGUUCUUAGGAAUAAGGCAUCAUAGAGGGUGAGAAUCCCGUCUACGAUUUGGCCAAGCUUCCAUGUGAUACGCUUUCAAAGAGUCGGGUUGUUUGGGAAUGCAGCCCAAAAUGGGUGGUAAUACCAUCUAAAGCUAAAUAUUGGCAAGAGACCGAUAGCGAACAAGUACCGUGAGGGAAAGAUGAAAAGAACUUUGAAAAGAGAGUUAAAUAGUACGUGAAAUUGCCAAAAGGGAAACGUUUGAAACCAGUCUUGUUUGCAGAAACCCAACUGAUUUAGCGAUCAGCAUAUGUUUUUGUAGACAGGUCAACAUCGGUUUCGACUGCAGUAUAAAGCUCGAGAAAGGUGGCCUUCGGUGUUAUAGUCUCGAGUCAUGCUGUGGUUGGGACCGAGGAACGCAGUGCAGUCUUGGGGACCCGUUCGCUAGCUGACGACUUAGUCUGGACAACUUGUUGACCUGGCCGAGGAUUAGGCUAAUCGGGCGGUUUACCACACCUGUGCUUAGGAUGUUGACAAAAUGGUUUUAAAUGACCCGUCUUGAAACACGGACCAAGGAGUCUAACACAUAUGCGAGUAUUUGGGUGCUAAACCCGGAAUGCGCAAUGAAAGUAAUAAGGUGCGAUCUUCGGUGCAGCAUCGACCGGUCUGGAACUAUUGUGAUGGAUCUGAGUAAGAGCAUAUUUGUUAGGACCCGAAAGAUGGUGAACUAUGCCUGAAUAGGGCGAAGCCAGAGGAAACUCUGGUGGAGGCUCGUAGCGAUUCUGACGUGCAAAUCGAUCGUAAAAUUUGGGUAUAGGGGCGAAAGACUAAUCGAACCAUCUAGUAGCUGGUUCCUC